rnacentral:lncRNA from 1 species
CCACCGACGCAUCUCACGGCGGGGUUCAUAUUGCGUGCGCGUAUGGAUGCUCCUUUCGCCGCCUUUCCAGCAACUAGUUUGUGUUAUGAUGCAUCGUUGGUCCGGCGUACGACGGCGCCUGAUGCGAUUUAUGCGUCCGGAAGCCCUUUCAGCCUCCAGGCAUGUCCCCACCUGCCUCACAGCCACCGACGCAUCUCACGGCGGGGUUCCAAUUGUGUGCGCGUAUGGAUGCUCCUUUCCCCGCCGCCUUUCUAGCAACUAGUUGAUGUUAUGAUGCAUCGUUGGUCCGGUGUACGAUGGCGCCUGAUGCGAUUUAUGCGUCUGAAAGCCCUUUCAGCCUCCAGGCAUGUCCCCACCUGCCUCACAGCCACCGACGCAUCUCACGGCGGGGGUCUAAUUGCGUGCGCGUAUGGAUGCUCCUUUCCCCGCCGCCUUUCUAGCAACUAGUUGAUGUUAUGAUGCAUCGUUGGUCCGGCGUACGACGGCGCCUGAUGCGAUUUGUGCGUCCGGAAGCCCUUUCAGCCUCCAGGCACGUCCCCACCUGCCUCACAGCCACCGACGCAUCUCACGGCGGGGUUCCAAUUGUGUGCGCAUAUGGAUGCUCCUUUCCCCGCCGCCUUUCUAGCAACUAGUGGAUGUUAUGAUGCAUCGUUGGUCCGGUGUACGAUGGCGCCUGAUGCGAUUUAUGCGUCCGGAAGCCCUUUCAGCCUCCAGGCAUGUCCCCACCUGCCUCACAGCCACCGACGCAUCUCACGGCGGGGUUCAUAUUGCGUGCGCGUAUGGAUGCUCCUUUCGCCGCCUUUCCAGCAACUAGUUGAUGUUAUGAUGCAUCGUUGGUCCGGCGUAACGACGGCGCCUGAUGCGAUUUAUGCGUCCGGAAGCCCUUUCAGCCUCCAGGCACGUCCCCACCUGCCUCACAGCCAUCUCACGGCGGGGUUCCAAUUGUGUCGCGUAUGGAUGCUCCUUUCCCCGCCGCCUUUCUAGCAACUAGUUGAUGUUAUGAUGCAUCGUUGGUCCAGUGUACGACGGCGCCUGAUGCGAUUUAUGCGUCCGGAAGCCCUUUCAGCCUCCAGGCAUGUCCCCACCUGCCUCACAGCCACCGACGCAUCUCACGGCGGGGUUCCAAUUGUGUGCGCGUAUGGAUACUCCUUUCCUGCCGCCUUUCUAGCAACUAGUUGAUGUUAUGAUGCAUCGUUGGUCCGGUGUACGACGGUGCCUGAUGCGAUUUAUGCGUCCGGAAGCCCUUUCAGCCUCCAGGCAUGUCCCCACCUGCCUCACAGCCACCGACGCAUCUCACGGCGGGGGUCUAAUUGCGUGCGCGUAUGGAUGCUCCUUUCGCCGCCUUUCCAGCAACUAGUUGAUGUUAUGAUGCAUCGUUGGUCCGGUGUACGAUGGCGCCUGAUGCGAUUUAUGCGUCCGGAAGCCCUNUCAGCCUCCAGGCAUGUCCCCACCUGCCUCACAGCCACCGACGCAUCUCACGGCGGGGUUCCAAUUGUGUGCGCGUAUGGAUGCUCCUUUCCCCGCCGCCUUUCUAGUAACUAGUUGAUGUUAUGAUGCAUCGUUGGUCCGGUGUACGAUGGCGCCUGAUGCGAUUUAUGCGUCCGGAAGCCCUUUCAGCCUCCAGGCAUGUCCCCACCUGCCUCACAGCCACCGACGCAUCUCACGGCGGGGUUCCAAUUGCGUGCGCGUAUGGAUGCUCCUUUCCCCGCCGCCUUUCUAGCAACUAGUUGAUGUUAUGAUGCAUCGUUCUUCCGGUGUACGACGGCGCCUGAUGCGAUUUAUGCGUCCGGAAGCCCUUUCAGCCUCCAGGCACGUCCCCACCUGCCUCACAGCGACCGAGGCAUCUCACGGCGGGGGUCUAAUUGCGUGCGCGUAUGGAUGCUCCUUUCCCCGCCGCCUUUCUAGCAACUAGUUGAUGAUAUGAUGCAUCGUUGGUCCGGCGUACGACGGCGCCUGAUGCGAUUUAUGCGUCCGGAAGCCCUUUCAGCCUCCAGGCAUGUCCCCACCUGCCUCACAGCCACCGACGCAUCUCACGGCGGGGUUCAAAUUGCGUGCGCGUAUGGAUACUCCUUUCCUGGCGGCUUUCUAACAAAUAAUUGAUGUUCUGAUGCCUCGUUGGUCCGGUGUACGAAGGUGCCUGAUGCGAAUUAUGCGUUCGGAAGCCCUUUCAGGCUUCAGGGAUGUUCCCAACUGGCUCACAGGCAACGACGCAUCUCACGGGGGGGGUCUAAUUGCGUGCGCGUAUGGAUGCUCCUUUCGCCGGCUUUCCAGCAACUAGUUGAUGUUAUGAUGCAUCGUUGGUCCGGCGUACGAUGGCGCCUGGUGCGAUGUAUGCGUCCGGAAGCCCUUUCAGCCUCCAGGCAUGUCCCCACCUGCCUCACAGCCACCGACGCAUCUCACGGCGGGGUUCCAAUUGCGUGCGCGUAUGGAUGCUCCUUUCCCCGCCGCCUUUCUAGCAACUAGUUGAUGUUAUGAUGCAUCGUUCUUCCGGUGUACGACGGCGCCUGAUGCGAUUUAUGCGUCCGGAAGCCCUUUCAGCCUCCAGGCAUGUCCCCACCUGCCUCACAGCCACCGACGCAUCUCACGGCGGGGGUCUAAUUGCGUGCGCGUAUGGAUGCUCCUUUCCCCGCUGCCUUUCCAGCAACUAGUUGAUGUUAUGAUGCAUCGUUGGUCCGGCGUACGAUGGCGUCUGAUGCGAUUUAUGCGUCCGGAAGCCCUUUCAGCCUCCAGGCAUGUCCCCACCUGCCUCACAGCCACCGACGCAUCUCACGGCGGGGUUCCAAUUGCGUGCGCGUAUGGAUGCUCCUUUCGCCGCCGCCUUUCUAGCAACUAGUUGAUGUUAUGAUGCAUCGUUGGUCCGGCGUACGAUGGCGUCUGAUGCGAUGUAUGCGUCCGGAAGCCCUUUCAGCCUCCAGGCAUGUCCCCACCUGCCUCACAGCCACCGACGCAUCUCACGGCGGGGUUCCAAUUGCGUGCGCGUAUGGAUGAUCCUUUCCUGCCGCCUUUCUAGCAACUAGUUGAUGUUAUGAUGCAUCGUUGGUCCGGCGUACGAUGGCGCCUGAUGCGAUUUAUGCGUCCGGAAGCCCUUUCAGCCUCCAGGCAUGUCCCCACCUGCCUCACAGCCACCGACGCAUCUCACGGCGGGGUUCCAAUUGUGUGCGCGUAUGGAUGCUCCUUUCCCCGCCGCCUUUCCAGCAACUAGUUGAUGUUAUGAUGCAUCGUUGGUCCGGCGUACGAUGGCGCCUGGUGCGAUGUAUGCGUCCGGAAGCCCUUUCAGCCUCCAGGCAUGUCCCCACCUGCCUCACAGCCACCGACGCAUCUCACGGCGGGGUUCCAAUUGCGUGCGCGUAUGGAUGCUCCUUUCCCCGCCGCCUUUCUAGCAACUAGUUGAUGUUAUGAUGCAUCGUUCUUCCGGUGUACGACGGCGCCUGAUGCGAUUUAUGCGUCCGGAAGCCCUUUCAGCCUCCAGGCAUGUCCCCACCUGCCUCACAGCCACCGACGCAUCUCACGGCGGGGGUCUAAUUGCGUGCGCGUAUGGAUGCUCCUUUCCCCGCUGCCUUUCCAGCAACUAGUUGAUGUUAUGAUGCAUCGUUGGUCCGGCGUACGACGGCGCCUGAUGCGAUUUAUGCGUCCGGAAGCCCUUUCAGCCUCCAGGCAUGUCCCCACCUGCCUCACAGCCACCGACGCAUCUCACGGCGGGGGUCUAAUUGCGUGCGCGUAUGGAUGCUCCUUUCCCCGCCGCCUUUCUAGCAACUAGUUGAUGUUAUGAUGCAUCGUUGGUCCGGCGUACGACGGCGCCUGAUGCGAUUUAUGCGUCCGGAAGCCCUUUCAGCCUCCAGGCAUGUCCCCACCUGCCUCACAGCGACCGACGCAUCUCACGGCGGGGGUCUAAUUGCGUGCGCGUAUGGAUGCUCCUUUCGCCGCCGCCUUUCUAGCAACUAGUUGAUGUUAUGAUGCAUCGUUGGUCCGGCGUACGACGGCGCCUGAUGCGAUUUAUGCGUCCGGAAGCCCUUUCAGCCUCCAGGCAUGUCCCCACCUGCCUCACAGCCACCGACGCAUCUCACGGCGGGGGUCUAAUUGCGUGCGCGUAUGGAUGCUCCUUUCGCCGCCUUUCUAGCAACUAGUUGAUGUUAUGAUGCAUCGUUGGUCCGGCGUACGACGGCGCCUGAUGCGAUUUAUGCGUCCGGAAGCCCUUUCAGCCUCCAGGCAUGUCCCCACCUGCCUCACAGCCACCGACGCAUCUCACGGCGGGGGUCUAAUUGCGUGCACGUAUGGAUGCUCCUUUCGCCGCCGCCUUUCUAGCAACUAGUUGAUGUUAUGAUGCAUCGUUGGUCCGGCGUACGACGGCGCCUGAUGCGAUUUAUGCGUCCGGAAGCCCUUUCAGCCUCCAGGCAUGUCCCCACCUGCCUCACAGCGACCGACGAAUCUCACGGCGGGGGUCUAAUUGCGUGCGCGUAUGGAUGCUCCUUUCGCCGCCUUUCCAGCAACUAGUUGAUGUUAUGAUGCAUCGUUGGUCCGGCGUACGAUGGCGCCUGAUGCGAUUUAUGCGUCCGGAAGCCCUUUCAGCCUCCAGGCAUGUCCCCACCUGCCUCACAGCCACCGACGCAUCUCACGGCGGGGUUCCAAUUGCGUGCGCGUAUGGAUGCUCCUUUCGCCGCCGCCUUUCUAGCAACUAGUUGAUGUUAUGAUGCAUCGUUGGUCCGGCGUACGAUGGCGCCUGAUGCGAUGUAUGCGUCCGGAAGCCCUUUCAGCCUCCAGGCAUGUCCCCACCUGCCUCACAGCCACCGACGCAUCUCACGGCGGGGGUCUAAUUGCGUGCGCGUAUGGAUGCUCCUUUCGCCGCCUUUCCAGCAACUAG